GGGAUCCAGGUGUUGGUGUUUUCCUGCUCCACCAGCUGGAUUUCAGGACCUCCCCCUGAUAUCCUAUGAUGCAUGGCUUGUGUUCACCUAAAAAGGACGAACCUUAUAUUUUGUAAACGAGAAGGCGCAAAGGAAAAAAGAAUGUAUUUUAAUUCAGCAAGUUUUAUUUUUUAUAUUGACAUGUUCUGAAUGGAGCCCCAAACAUUUGCUGAUGAGAAAAAGGGAGAAGGCAGAGAGGCAGAAAGUAGAAAGCAUAAUGGCUCAUCAAUGAGGAAGGGGCAUGGAUGAUGAUGGCUUUCUGCCACUUGACUGAAGGUUGUCAGUUGUCUAAGGUCUAAUACUUAACAAUGAUGAAACUGAAAAGUAUGACCUUCUAUCAAGCUCUUAAUUAACUUUUCUUAUUUCCUUCAUUCAAAAUGAAUUUGAGACAGUGUCUUAAAAAUCCAUUCAUAUUAAUCAUUAAUCAGUUCAGCUGCAGGCUUCCAUUGGUCAACCUGGUGAUUGAAUUAUUGAAAGCUUUUAUUGAUGUCCUGCUACUCCUUACAGAUACAAUAAGAAUGCUGGCAA